AAAAAAAAAUCAAAAAA
rnacentral:sRNA from 1 species